rnacentral:rRNA from 1 species
GACAGAGGGUGCAAACGUUGUUCGGAAUUACUGGGCGUAAAGCGCGUGUAGGCGGCCCUGCAAGUCGGAUGUGAAAUCCCACGGCUCAACCGUGGAAGUGCAUUCGAAACUGCAGGGCUAGAGUCCUGGAGAGGAAGGUGGAAUGCUUGGUGUAGAGGUGAAAUUCGUAGAUAUCAAGCGGAACACCGGUGGCGAAGGCAGCUCACUGGGACGGUAUUGACGCUGAGACGCGAAAGCGUGGGGAGCAAACAGG